UGACUUGUUCAAGCUGUUCGACCACUUGGUUUGGCUAAAAAGGGGGAACGAAGAGUCAAGGGUUGAUUCACAAUAACCAAUUCAGAAUUAAGAAAGCAUAGCGAUACCUGAUUGAACGAUGAAGAAGAUGACAUCUUGGACAUGAGGGUUUCAGUUUGAAUCAAGUGCUUACAGAGAUGAAGGCCAGUGCGGUUGUGCGAAUGCACCUAAGAGGAACGAUUGCUGCUCAUAUUUAUAGAAUGGCAUUGAAG
rnacentral:lncRNA from 1 species